rnacentral:rRNA from 1 species
CCCUUAGAGUUUGAUCCUGGCUCAGAAUCAACGCUGGCGGCGUGCCUCAGACAUGCAAGUCGAACGCGAAAUCUCCCUUCGGGGAGAAAGUAGAGUGGCGCACGGGUGAGUAACACGUAGGUAAUUUGCCUUCGGGUGGGGAAUAACAGCCGGAAACGGCUGCUAAUACCGCAUAAUGCAGCGGCUCGACAUCGAGACAGUUGUUAAAGCGGGGGAUUCGCAAGAACCUCGCGCCUGAAGAGAAGCCUGCGGCAGAUUAGCUAGUUGGUAGGGUAAUGGCCUACCAAGGCAACGAUCUGUAACCGGCCUGAGAGGGCGGUCGGUCACACUGACACUGACAUACGGGUCAGACUCCUACGGGAGGCAGCAGUCGGGAAUUUUGGGCAAUGGGCGAAAGCCUGACCCAGCAACGCCGCGUGAAGGAUGAAAUCCCUCGGGAUGUAAACUUCGCAAGAAUGGGAAGAAUAAGUAGAAGAUAAUACCUUCUAUGAUGACGGUACCAUUUGUAAGCUCCGGCUAACUCCGUGCCAGCAGCCGCGGUAAUACGGGGGGAGCAAGCGUUGUUCGGAUUUACUGGGCGUAAAGGGCGCGUAGGCGGCCACGACAAGUCAGUUGUGAAAUCUCUGGGCUUAACUCAGAACGGUCAACUGAUACUGUCGGGCUAGAGUGCAG